GUGGCACUCUUAGAAUGCAUGGC
rnacentral:miRNA from 1 species